rnacentral:lncRNA from 1 species
CCCGAUAUAUGGCUUUUUCUACUUUGUUAGAGAAUUAAUUACUCUUACUUGAGGCCAUGCUGAUGAGGAUUGUAGUAUCAGAGAGCUCUGCUGCUAUCUUCUGCUACACUCACCGAGCUCCUUUCAACCAAAUUCGAAUUCAAAAGCCGCCCAUGUCUUAUUAUGCACUCGCAUCGUAUAAUUAAUUAAUAAUUCAUCGGUUUCUCUUCCUUUCCUGUGUGCCCCAUAACCAUCCAAACAAACUUGUAAAAAAAUCCUUUCUUGAGUAAUAUAUAAUACUUAGAGCUAAGGAAUCACUUUAUACUUUACCUGGUUUUACUACUUUUACUGGAUUCCUGGGUUUGUCUUUCCCUUUGUUUCUUACUGGAAAAUCUUCUUGUAUAAUGGAUUGAUAUGUGUGCAUCUUUUCUUUUCAUAAUUCUUAUAGCCAUCAGUCAAUAAUCCCUAGUUUCUCUUUUCUUUUUUUGAGAAUUACUCCCUAGUUUCUUUGGUUACAUUUGAAUUAAUGACACGGGAAUAGAAGAUUUCAAGAGAAAUGAUUUGCUGACCUCACCGAGAAAACAACAAAUGAUCCGACAGUUGAUGGUGGA